GACGAACGCUGGCGGCGUGCCUAACACAUGCAAGUCGAACGGAGUUAAGUGCUUCGGUAUUUAACUUAGUGGCGAACGGUGAGUAACGCGUGAGAAACCUGCCUUUCAGUGGGGGACAACAGUUGGAAAUGACUGCUAAUACCGCAUAAGACCACAGCGCCGCAUGGUGCAGGGGUAAAAACUCCGGUGGUAUGAGAUGGACCCGCGUCUGAUUAGCUGGUUGGUGGGGUGACGGCCUACCAAGGCGACGAUCAGUAGCCGGACUGAGAGGUUGAACGGCCACAUUGGGACUGAGAUACGGCCCAG
rnacentral:rRNA from 1 species